UGAUUCAUCACGUUCACAGAUUCGCGCCCAGAAUAUGACUUGGGCGUUAUGUGCUACUACAAACCCGCACAGAGUACCUCAACGUAUAGAAUAUCACCAGGUACAAUAUAGAGAUAGAUAGAAGAGAGAUAUGAUAUUUCUCCAAUAUUGAACACAUGUCGAGAAAAUGCAGGCAAGCUUCCCCCUCGACUUCACAGCAUGUGUGUAUCUCACUCUGGUGUAUUUCAUGGAAGUGAUACAUGACAGUACUACUUUACUACUUAGAAUGGCGCCUGCAUCCCUGCAGCUGCCGCACAUCUCCUCCCGUAUCCCUGCACCUCUUUUUCCUGAGAUGGUUGAACCCCCUGCUGUUCCCACGGUCAGCAUUUUAUGCUUGUAUUAUUGUAUUUAUCCUUUGCAUAAUUUGGCGUAUGACCCUCAUGGCAGUGGAUACAGCUAUGUUAUGAUUUUGUGCACGUUUUGUUCGUAUGGAAGGCUUUUCUUUUGUGUGUGUGUGAAGCAUGCAUCUCUGCUAAGUAUACAGUUUCAUGUGAGCUGUACUUCAGAACACCGCGUCAAGUCAGAUUGCGUAUUAUCUCUUCAUGCAUUAAGUAUCUGUCUUUUUCCAGCUCCUUGCCUUUGAAAUGGAGGCGCAGCAACCGCGUAGCAACACCCAUACAUGGGAGGAGGGAGCUGGAGCCGUGGUUUCGUUGCAGUUGAUCUUGGCACCCGCUUUGCAAAACUUAAAUGCAUAUGCAAUCCUCACCUCAUCAUUUUCUACUGUAGCUGUUCAGAUAGUUCUUCGGUACACCAUGCGAAUACCUGGUUCUCCCCAGUGGUUAUUUAUGAAGUUGUCUGCACCUUCUGCUGUGGUUAUUUAUGGAGUUGUCUGCUGGUCAGAAAGCAGUGGCUCUGUGUUGAAGGUGCCCUGGUCAGUGCUAUGUUCCGCUUCCUGCCACCACUGCUGAGAAAGAAGCCAGGUGGAGUCAUCAAGAAGUUGCGAACUCGAGGUGGAUGUCACGACGGAACCGCUCAUGCGGGCCAACUUUGACACGCUC